UGGGUAGUCCGCACGAGCGCACCUUACUUUUAGUUGCCACCAUUUAGUUGAGCACUCUAAAAGAACUGCCAGUGAUAAGCUGGAGGAAGGUGGGGAUGACGUCAAGUCCUCAUGGCCCUUACGUGUUGGGCUACACACGUGCUACAAUGGUACUUACAACGAGAUGCUAAGAGGCGACUCUAAGCCAAUCCCAAAAAAGUACCUCAGUUCGGAUUGCACUCUGCAACUCGAGUGCAUGAAGCUGGAAUUGCUAGUAAUCGCGGAUCAGCGCGCCGCGGUGAAUACGUUCCCGGGUCUUGUACACACCGCCCGUCACACCAUGGAAGUUGGUUACACCUUAAGGCAAAGUGUAAAACCUUUGACUACGGUACGAUCAGCGACUGGGGUGAAGUCGUAACAAGGUAGCCGUAGGGGAACCUGCGGCUGGAUCACCUCCUUUCU
rnacentral:rRNA from 1 species